rnacentral:lncRNA from 1 species
UUUUUGUUUUUGUUUUUGUCUAUAUCUAUAUUUAAUGCUUCAUGCAUAUACCGUAAGAUUCGAUGUAACGGAGAAUUUUGAAAAUUUUUUAGUAGCUUUUGGGAACUAAACAAGGCCUACGGCCUCCAAUAACACCUCGCACCCAUCAACAAUCGAUCGAGGGCCACACACGCGAACGGGACGGAUGACCCAACUCUGUCUCCAAAAAUUCGCC